CCUACGGGUGACAGCAGUGAGGAAUAUUGGUCAAUGGGCGCGAGCCUGAACCAGCCAAGUCGCGUGAGGGAAGACGGUCCUAUGGAUUGUAAACCUCUUUUGUCGGGGAGCAAAAGACGCCACGCGUGGCGUUCCGAGAGUACCCGAAGAAAAAGCAUCGGCAAACUCCGUGCCAGCAGCCGCGGUAAUACGGAGGAUGCGAGCGUUAUCCGGAUUUAUUGGGUUAAAAGGGUGCGCAGGGGGAAGAUCAAGUCAGCGGUAAAAUUGAGAGGCUCAACCUCGGCGAGCCGUUGAAACUGGUGUUCUUGAGUGAGUGAGAGGUAUGCGGAAUGCGUGGUGUAGCGGUGAAAUGCAUAGAUAUCACGCAGAACUCCGAUUGCGAAGGCAGCAUACCGGCGCUCAACUGACGCUCAUGCACGAAAGUGUGGGUAUCGAACAGGAUUAGAUACCCCUGUAGUC
rnacentral:rRNA from 1 species